UCUUCCUCAAUUGUCUUCCUCGCUUUUCUUCCUCCACCACGGCAUUCAUCUCACUCUGUCGUUCCUCCUCUCAUCGACUAGCAUCAAUGCUGUGGUCCCCUGGAUCGCACCGUCUUCAUCUCCUCUUCCCUCCGGAUCUCCAGCACCAUCACCUCACCACCAGUGGCGAGGCCUUGAGAAAACCAGGAUCUACACGGCUUCUUCACCGGUGGGGACGAGGAGGCAAGGUCGUCGUUCGUCCCAGCAUCCCAAGCUCCGUCAUCUGCUGGCCCCACAUGCCCAAAUCGUGAGGACAAAAUGAUGAUUCUAAUCCUCGGCAUCUGGUGCGACUUCCUAGUGCGCACGAUUGCCGAUCUAUUUUGUGCUGUUAGCAGUCAUCCACAAGAACAAGUGCACAAGGGUCUGUACAAAAAUAGGUCAGUGGAUAUAGAUUGUUGAAAUGCAAAUUGAGGGUGUAUUAUUGACCUAUCCUUUAUGUUAUUGUGUUGCUAUGAUCUCUCUGAUAACCCUAGCCACAAAAGCUUUACUGCAGUUAUUGGACGCCAGCAUUGUUGACGAGUUAGAUUUUCAUCCAAGGAGAACUUUUCUGCUGGAUCAACUUUGAUAUAGAAGGAACUAAUGUAAUUGACAGAUGAUCAGAUAAUAAAUAAAGGUUUAUUAGACCAGAUGUAAGGAUUCAAGUGUCUUUUCAGAUUUUGUAAUCUAUGUUGUCAUCGACUCUUCAUGUUCACUAAUAAGAAUGCCAUUUGGGUUGUUGCUGAAUGCUGACCCAGCACCCCAAUGUUAAACCUCAAUGAACUGGGGGAAAUCUUGUUUAGUUUUUGCCUUUCCUUUUCUUCAAGUUGGCUGCAUCUGAUAAUCACACAUUGGUAUGCAGCUGUCCUGCAUUUGUUCUGACAGCAGUGAGCCAUAGGACUUAAUCUGCCAUAUGCUCAGCAUACCAUAUAAGAAUUAUGCAGAGCUUGAGAUGCUAACAUUUGACUGAACCUAAGAAUACAAUGCGAAGGCAUUUUAUGCCUAGAAAGGGCCAAGAUAUUUUCACCUAUGCAUUUACACACUUUUAGUUAAUAUAUUAUGUCCUGACACAGUGGUUGAAGCCAGCCACAAGGCUAUGAUACUAAUGUAGAAUGGGUUUUACAAAUAUGACACUCCAUCUUGAUAAUUGCAUUCUCCUUAGGUCUAUCUCUCACAAGAUAUGUCUAUUAUGAUGGGCUAACUUGAGCAGUGUACCUGUGGAUUAGGGAAAGCUGAAGACAAGAAUAAAGAAAAAAGUCAUCAGAUCUUAAUAUGAGAACUUCCCGUCCCAGCUUUUAUCAAAAAUGUCUGCCACUCUGUCAUGUCAGAGUUACUUGUGCAUGCAAUCCUUGAUACCUUCUUGUUCUUGAUGAAGUCUCAACAGUCCGAUGAACCACAUCUCUUUUAUGCAUCAGAGCAGUUUCUUCUCAUUCAUGUGAAUCAUAACCUUUGAUAAAACUUUCUCCUCUCUCAUGGGUAAUCUUAUCUAUUCACUAGAGGUCUGCCUGGUUAUUGAUAACCAUGAUCUUGUUUAGGGAUUACGUAACAACUUGUAUCAACCAAUAACAUUUUCCUUUAUUAGCAUGAUCCUAUAUCGGCCUAUCUUAUUUUUCUUAUAUAGAGUCUCCACACUAGUAUAUAUAACUUCUGAGAUGUACCGAAUAUGAUGUAACAGAGAAAUAAAAUUCUUUUUCUCUCCCUUUUUUUCUUUUGUUUUCCUCUUCUUUUGCAAAUAUUUUAACAUCACCGUUGAUUCAUGCAUGCAUUGCAUGCACAUCAUGUGUCUCUUCCUUGCUAAUUAUUGUCUAGCCUAGUCUUUGUGAUAAUAAUUUAGCAUCCAAUUACCAUUUCGCUUUGUUCACAGUAACUACACCAAGGAGGGAACACUUUAGUUAUAUUUAUCUAGACUUGGGCUUUAAUGGGAAUGAACUGCAACGAAUGGGUGCUGUGCAUGACAGUGGUUGAGAUGCUAACCUUUGACUGAACCUAAGAAUACAAUGCGAAGGCAUUUUAUGCCUAGAAAGGGCCAAAAUAUUUUUGCCUAUGCAUUUACACUCUUUUAUUUAAUAUCUUAUGUCCUGACAUAGUGGUUGAAGCCAGCCACAAGGCUAUGAUGCUAAUGUAGAAUGGGUUUUACAAAUAUGACAAUCCAUCUUGAUAAUUGCAUUCUCCUUGGGUCUAUCUCUUACAAGAUAUGUCUAAUAUGAUGGGCUAACUUGAGCAGUGUACCUGUGGACUAGGGAAAGCUGAAGACAAGAAUAAAGAAAAAAGUCACCAGAUCUUAACCUGAGAACUUUCUGUCCCAGUUUUAUCAAAAAUGUCUGCCACUCUUCAUGUCAGAGUCACAUGUGCAUGCAAUCCUUGAUACCUUCUUGUUCUUGAUGAAGUCUCAACAGUCCAAUGAACCACAUCUCUUUUAUGCACCAGAGCAGUUUCUUCUCAUUCGUGUGAAUCAUAACCUUUGACAAAACUCUCCCCUCUCUCAUGGGUAAUCUUAUCCAUUCACUAGAGGUCUGCCUGGUUAUUGAUAACCACGAUCUUGUUAGAGUGAUUUUAGGAAUCACGUAACAACUUGUAUCAGCCAGUAACAUUUUUUUUUGUUAGCAUGAUCCUAUAUCAGAAUAUAUUAUUUUUCUUAUAUAGAGUCUGUACGCUAGUAUAUAUAAUUCCUAAGAUGUACCGAAUAUGAUAUAAUAGAGAAAUAAAAUUAUUUUUCUCUUUUUUUCUUUUGUUUUCCUCUUCUUUUGCAAAUAUUUUAACAUCACCAUGGAUUCAUACAUGCAUUGCAUGCACAUCAUAGGUCUCUUCCUUGCUAAUUAUUGUCUAGCCUAGUCUUUGUGAUAAUAAUUUAGCAUCCAAUUACCAUUUCGCUUUGUUCACAGUGACUACACUAAGGAGGGAAUACUUUAGUUAUAUUUAUCUAGACUUGGGCUUUAAUGUGAAUGAACUGCAACGGAUGGGUGCUGUGCAUGACAGGCAAAUCCUUUUGCAGGCUGUGAUGGAGAUAUAUAACAUGUACAGAGCUCAAUUGCAUGCCAUGGCGUCUCAUGCAGGACCCCCCAUUGCUACGCCUUGAGAACGAGUCCUAUCAGAUAUGCCUUGCUCUGCUACAAACUAUUGUACUGAACAGAGCUCUUAAUGGGGAUGUAGAAGUGGAGGCAUACUUUGUUGACCUGUGCAGAGAGGUCCUGCAGGUUUAUCUUCACACUGCGAAAUCUGGGAAGCUUGUUGAAGUUUCAACUGGUUGCUAACCAAGAGCUCGUUGGCUUAUCCCUGUUGGUUCUGCAAAACGGAGAGAACUUGCAGCUCGGGCACCCCUUGUUGUGGCAACUUUUGAAGCUAUAUGUGGAUUAGGGGAUUCCUCUUUUAAGAAGAACCUGGCUCAAUUCUUUCCCUUUCUUGCAUCUCUAAUCAGUGUAGGUCCAGUGUUGCUUCGGUCCUGUUAAACCUGGCAGAAUCUCAUCAUACAGUACUUUGAGAUGUAUGAUAUAUUUUCAUUUAUAUGAGUCAGUUUUCCU